rnacentral:lncRNA from 1 species
CGGGGCGGCAGGAGCACAGGGCUCCAUCUGCCCACAGGAGAAAGGAGGGAGCAACUUCGCCUGCCCUUCCCUGGGGGAACACGGCUGGAGCUGUGGCUGUGAUGACUGGAGCUGUGGCUGUGGCUGUGACAGCUGGGUGGCAGGUCCAGGCGUCCCACCCAGGGUACUGUCCUCUGCAUCCAGUCCAGGCAACACAGAAUAAGCAUCAUGCUCCAGAGGAGGUAGCCUGCCUGUCCUUCAAAUCCCUCUCCUGAGGCCCAUCCUGCCCUUAUGCUUGUCUUAUCCCCAACCAGACAGGCUGCCCGUGCCACUCCGAUGCCCAGCACCCACCAGCAUAGCCACCUGGAGUUGUUUCCCCAAGCUGCAGGCCACUGUGUUAAGGGCCAGUCAGAGCUCAUUUGGACAGGAAGGUUUUCUACACAUUACAGCUCCCAAGCUGAAAGAAAGUUGUGAAAGCUGGACAGGCUGCAAAGGACCUUCAGUCAUCCCCCUUCCAGCCUGGCUUGAAUUCCCUGAGAUGGGGACUCACUGCUAAGCCACCUCCAUCACCACGGACGUGGACACAGGAGGAUAGACUCAUUCCAACGGAUGCCGGCCAGAUUCGUGUCCUGGGGCCGCCAAAACCAAGUCCCACAAACUGAAGCUUCAAACAACAGACACUGCUUCUCCCCAAGUUGUGGAGGCCAGAAGCCCGAGAUCCAGAAAAGGCACUGGGUACAGAGAUGACAAGGCGCUGGCCCUGCCUUCCAGGGGCCCCCAGCAUCAUGGGGAAGACACCCAGUGACUGGCCAACUCAUCUCUGCCUUUCCGCUGUCGGCUGCACAAGUGUGCACCUGCUGUGGCCCCUGGGAAGUCUUCUGUGCUAAAGUGGAAAGGCUUCCAGUGCCUUCACAAAGGCAUGAAUCUACUCACAGGGAUCCACUCCAUGAGGAAAACACCUUCCAUUAGGCCCCACCUCCAACACUCUGGGAUCAAAUUGCAACCUGAGGUUUGGAGGCCCAACCAUGCAGCUGCCAGCACUGCUCCUGGAUAUCACCAAGGAAUACGGGUCAUUGGAGCAUUCGCAGACAGUCUUCAAGCAUCCACUGUGUGCCAGGCUCGCGCACCGAGGCCAUGCCAGCGGGUGUCAUCAUGCCAGCUCUUCCCAGGCCUGGGCAGCUGAGACCUGUGCAUGCCAGGCCAAAGUCUCCAGCCCCAGAUGUGAACCUGGAAUGCCCCGGCCCACCUCCUCCUUCUUGGGGUCCCCAGAUUCGCUUCCCGAGGACCUCGAAGGGUUCACAUUCUCACCAUAAGCAGGCGCUCACACCGGGGGCAAGCAGAGGGACAGCAGCCCCCUAGAGGCAGGGCCCAAGGGUCCCAUGCACUUCACCCCUGCUGCAGGACCUGGCCUGGGCCUGUGACUUGGGAAUGCCACAUCAUAGAGGUUCUCUGGAAACAAGGAAUGCAGACCCCAUGACCACGUACCCCCACUCCCCAGAUGACCCACUGCAGCAGACCAAACAUGGGCAUCCAUCUCUGAGUGCCCCGCAGUGCAAGCAAAUGACGUGUCUGGCUGCCGACAAAGCGCAAUAAAGCCGGUGACCUCAGAUACAGAGUUUAUCCUCUCACCAUCCCGGAGGCCAGAAAUGCCAGACCAAGGUGCCUGUGUCUUCUAACAAGGACAUCAGCCAUUGGAUGAAGCCACCUUAAAUCCAGGAUGACUUCAUCGUAACUUACUGACAUCAGCAAAGACCCUAUUUCCAAAUACGGUCACAUUCACAGCUGCAGCUGGCUGGGCAGGCAACAGAAAAGCAGACUUCAGGAGCAAAAGGCGGAGGCCCCAGACCCCAGCUCUCCCAGAGCAGAAUGGAGCAGAAGGGACGGGCCGGUCCUUUAUCCCCUGGAGCCAGGCUUCCUGCCUCAGAAAUGCUUGGGGCUGCCCUCACACCACGCUGGGCAGCUUCAGGAGACACCGUGUGAUCACCUGGUGCUGGGGAACUCGCAGGCAUCAGCCCCUCCACUCCUCCCCAUUGGGGAAAGGGAGGAGAUGGGGCCCAAGGCAAGGGACCCAGGACAGGGCUUUGCAGGAGCACCCAAGCUUCAUGGGGCGAUUUCAUCAGUCACAUAGGAAUGCCAGCUGCGACGCCCACACACUGGAGACCCAGCAAACGAAGCAGGCCCGGACACUGGCAUGGAAUUCUGACACAUCAGGGUACAACCACCAAAUUGGAAAGGUCAUAAAAUAUUAAAGCUGUUGAUGGAGAGAAAAUAUUGAAGAUUUCAUCAGCAGUUUCUUGCCCUAUUUCAAUGAUAUUAACUUUUUAAUUAAAAUUGACGCUCAAGACUUUCCAACAGAGGGAAGUUUCACUUCUUAACCUAGAGGGAGCCGCA